rnacentral:rRNA from 1 species
GACGAACGCUGGCGGCGUGCCUAAUACAUGCAAGUAGAACGCACAGUUUAUACCGUAGCUUGCUACACCAUAGACUGUGAGUUGCGAACGGGUGAGUAACGCGUAGGUAACCUGCCUGGUAGCGGGGGAUAACUAUUGGAAACGAUAGCUAAUACCGCAUAAUAUUGAUUAUUGCAUGAUAAUUAAUUGAAAGGUGCAAUUGCACCACUACCAGAUGGACCUGCGUUGUAUUAGCUAGUAGGUGAGGUAACGGCUCACCUAGGCGACGAUACAUAGCCGACCUGAGAGGGUGAUAGGCCACACUGGGACUGAGACACGGCCCAGACUCCUACGGGAGGCAGCAGUAGGGAAUCUUCGGCAAUGGACGAAAGUCUGACCGAGCAACGCCGCGUGAGUGAAGAAGGUUUUCGGAUCGUAAAGCUCUGUUGUAAGAGAAGAACGGGUGUGAGAGUGGAAAGUUCACACUGUGACGGUAUCUUACCAGAAAGGGACGGCUAACUACGUG